GGCACAUUAAAUUAAAGUGAAACUGCUGACUACGAUUGUUCAGUGUCCAAGUGCUUUCCAAGCUGCAAUACCGAAUUAAACAAGGAGCUGCAUUGCCCGGUUUGAUAUACACCAUUUGAUAUGGAAUACAAGAUGAAAGUUACACACAAGUGAAUCGAUUCAAGAAAUCAAAGAAUCAUACACUAGAUUAACUGGAAAAACUUGUUGCGAAAAAUAAAGUAUUAUAAAUGAUAUCUGAAUUUAAUUUUUGAUAAUAAAAUACAUUUUUAGUUACCUUA